UUCUGGUUGAUCCUGCCAGAGGCCACUGCUAUCGGAGUUCGAUUAAGCCAUGCGAGUCGAGAGGGGAAAGCCCUCGGCAUACUGCUCAGUAACACGUGGAUAACCUGCCCUGCGGUGGGAAAUAACCCCGGGAAACUGGGGAUAAUGUCCCAUAGACUACGGAUACUGGAAUGUUCUGUAGUUCAAAGAUUUAUCGCCACAGGAUGGGUCUGCGGCCGAUUAGGUAGUUGUUGGGGUAACGGCCCAACAAGCCUUUGAUCGGUACGGGUUGUGGGAGCAAGAGCCCGGAGGUGGAUUCUGGGACACGAAUCCAGGCCCUACGGGGCGCAGCAGGCGCGAAAACUUUACAAUGCGGGAAACCGUGAUAAGGGAACUCCGAGUGUCCGUAAAUGCGGACUGUCCGUAUGUUUAAAAAGCAUGCGAAGAAAGGGCCGGGCAAGACCGGUGCCAGCCGCCGCGGUAAUACCGGCGGCUCGGGUGGUGGCCACUAUUAUUGGGCUUAAAGCGUUCGUAGCUGGGUUGUUAAGUUUCUUGGGAAAUCUACCGGCUUAACCGAUAGGCGUCCAAGGGAUACUGGCAAUCUAGGGACCGGGAGAGGUGAGGGGUACUUCAGGGGUAGGAGUGAAAUCCUGUAAUCCUUGGGGGACCACCUGUGGCGAAGGCGCCUCACCAGAACGGCUCCGACAGUGAGGGACGAAAGCUGGGGGAGCAAACCGGAUUAGAUACCCGGGUAGUCCCAGCCGUAAACGAUGCGCGUUAGGUGUAUCGAUGACCACGAGUCAUCGAGGUGCCGAAGGGAAACCGUGAAACGCGCCGCCUGGGAACUACGGUCGCAAGGCUGAAACUUAAAGGAAUUGGCGGG
rnacentral:rRNA from 1 species